AAUGAACGUUGGCGGCGUGGAUUAGGCAUGCAAGUCGAGCGGCAGCAGGCCCCGCAAGGGGCGCUGGCGAGCGGCGAAAGGGAGAGUAACACGCGGGUACCUGCCCUCGGGCCCGGGAUAGCUGCGGGAAACUGCAAUUAAUACCGGAUAAUGUCCCUGGACCAAAGGUGUGAUUCCGCCUGAGGAGGGGCCCACGUCCUAUCAGCUAGCUGGUGAGGUAACGGCUCACCAAGGCUACGACGGGUACGGGGUGUGAGAGCCUGCCCCCGCUCACUGGGACUGAGACACUGCCCAGACACCUACGGGUGGCUGCAGUCGAGAAUCUUCCGCAAUGGGCGAAAGCCUGACGGAGCGACGCCGCGUGCGGGAUGAAGGCCUUCGGGUUGUAAACCGCUGUCAGAGGGGAACAAGUUCAUGGGGGUUCUCCCCUAUGUUUGAGUGAUCCUCAGAGGAAGCGCAGGCUAAGUCCGUGCCAGCCGCCGCGGUAAUAC
rnacentral:rRNA from 1 species